ACAGAUCGUUCAGAGUUUGAUCCUGGCUCAGGACGAACGCUGGCGGCGUGCCUAACACAUGCAAGUCGAACGAGAAUCUGCCGAAAGAUCCUUCGGGAUGAAUUUGGCAGAGGAAAGUGGCGGACGGGCGAGUAACGCGUGAGUAACCUGCCCAUAAGAGGGGGAUAAUCCAUGGAAACGUGGACUAAUACCGCAUAUUGAAUAUAUACCGCAUGAUAUAUAUUUGAAAGAUUUAUCGCUUAUGGAUGGACUCGCGUCAGAUUAGCUAGUUGGUGAGGUAACGGCUCACCAAGGCGACGAUCUGUAGCCGAACUGAGAGGUUGAUCGGCCGCAUUGGGACUGAGACACGGCCCAG
rnacentral:rRNA from 1 species